CGAAGCGUACGGUCGGUGGCGGUUAAAGCGCGUUUCCUUCGACAUUAAAUUAUAUGAAAUAUGCAUUUUUUUUUUAAGAAUUUUGUAGCGCAUAAUGUAAACGAAAAAUAAAACAGAAAGAAACAAUAAAAUAUGUUAAAUAUUACAUUGGAACCUGCUUAAGCGCCUAAAAGUAUGCAAUAUAUAUUGAGUACAUAUAUAAAAAACAACCCUUUAAAGGAUUUAUAAUAAAUGUUCCGCACUUAAAGCUAUCGGUUGUCUGCAUUUUUUGUCGCUUUUUGGUCGUUUUUUCGUUGUAUCGCAAAGGACGAGCAGAAAUCAUUAAAUCAAUUAGGCCAAAGGAUAAAAACCAGCCACUGUCGGACGCAGGUGAUACUGCAUACCACACGGCAACUAAUGUGUAACAAAAAAAAGAGAAAUUAAAGUUACAAAAAAUGUGGAAAACGCGCGUGGAAAUUAAGCUGCAAUGCAGAGUGUAAGUUAGUGCGGCGGCAAGGAGCACAAGCACAAACGAAGUGAGUAAAUGGCAAACUAGAAAGUUGAAGAAAAAAGCGCGCACGACGCACACAGACUCAUGAAUGACAGCUACUUCAAGUAUACAUAAUACGGCGUUCCUGUAGUCGUAGUGUUGGUGAGGGCAAGUGAAAGCGAAAGUUGUGAAAUGAAAGAAAACAAAUGAAGACGAAGUUAAACAUAAGCUUAGUCAUUUCCUUUCCGCUUGAGUGUAAAAAAUAAUUAAAUAAAAGCACAGAAAUAUAUGUACUUAACAACGAAAUUCAUAUUUCUAAAAUAAUUCACAUUUGCAAAAUAAGCCAAGGGCACAAAAAUGCCUGUGCAGGUCGGUAAGUGCGGUCGAGCUUAGCAUACCAUUAGGCGCUCUCCAAAAAAUGUAAGAAAAGGUGGCAAAUAACAUUUAAUCUUCAAAAAGUGGACCACGAAAUUCAUCUGAAAGCAAUCAAAUAUAAACCAUAACAACAAUAACAACGUGCGCUGCCUUCAAAUGUCCACGGCACGCGUUUGAAAAUACCAUUAGAUGCGCACAAAACUAUGCUACACGCUGAUUGAGAUGAAUUUUAAAAACGCUGCGUAAAAAUAGACAACUAACUAGGUCAAUUUUCGUAUAAACGCGAACGUGCGACGCCAAACUAGUUUAGAAGGUGUAUAAAAACAAAAAGUGAAAUAAAAAACGUAAGCGAAUAGACAGCGCAAAUAGCAUACGAAAGCAUAACGAAAAACAAGCAAAAAAUAAAAAAUAAAAAAAGCAGAAUCUCAGCUGAAAGAAGAGUGAAAUAAAAGAGGCAAGAAAAAUAAAAAACUAAAAAUAAAAGUGAAACUAAGCAAGAAGAGCGUGGCUGAGUAUGUAUGUGUGAGUGUUUGCGUACGCCACGGAUUGAGCCAAAGAGUCGCUGAAAAAGAUAUACUUUCAACCCAAAUGAUUUGUGUCGGUAACGAGUAAAUGUGUGAAAUUCAGCGCGCAACUCUCAAGUCGGAAAAUUCCUUUGUAAUUUGCAAACAAUUAAAAAAAUAAAUAUCAAGAGCAAUUGAUGCGUUAAAAAAAAUUAAAAAAAAAAUUCAACAAAACAUAUCAACAGUGCCACUUCAAGCGGAAUAUAGGUUAAGAAGCGAUUGUAGGAAUUAAAAUUAUAUAUAAAUGUUUGUAUUAAAAUAUAAUUUUUUUUUUAACGGAAAUAAGUGAAACUAAAAACUGCAAAAAAAUAUUUACUCACGGUUAAAAUUAUUUCAAAUUUACGGUAUGUUCUCAAAAAAUCAUUAGAACUAAAGUGCAAAAAAAAAACAUACAUAUCAGCAGUUUAUGCAAAAAUAAAAACGAAAAUUAAGAAAAAAGCAAAAGAAUAACAAAACAGGAAAGUCAAAGCAACGCUUUGAUGUGCAACUACAAAAAAAAAUUAAAAUAGAAAAGUGUAAAAAAUAACUUUGCAUUAAGGCAAACAGUACAAAAAGCAAACACCAAUAAAUUGCUAACAACUAUAACAACGACAGCAAGCCGUUUAUGUUAGCGUAAAUACAUACAAACACAUACAUAAACAUACGUGUACGACUAUAAGCAAAUAAUUGGCAGUUUGUGUUUAUUUUAUCAAAAAAACAAAAAAAAAGUUAUAAAAAGUUAUGUCUUUACCGCUGCACCGCAUAGUAAGCAUGCAGAACAAGAGCAGCUACAUCAGAGAAAUAAUAAUAAUAGCAACAACAAAAGAGGUACUCAUAUCAGCAUAGAAGCUAACAAAUACUAAUUGCAUGCAUAUGAACUGAAGUAAAA